rnacentral:rRNA from 1 species
CCUACGGGAGGCAGCAGUGAGGCAUAUUGGUCAAUGGACGGAAGUCUGAACCAGCCAUGCCGCGUGCAGGAAGACGGCUCUAUGAGUUGUAAACUGCUUUUGUACAAGGGUAAACCUGAAUACGUGUAUUCAGCUGAAAGUACUGUACGAAUAAGGAUCGGCUAACUCCGUGCCAGCAGCCGCGGUAAUACGGAGGAUCCAAGCGUUCUCCGGAUUUAUUGGGUUUAAAGGGUGCGUAGGCGGAUGGAUAAGUUAGAGGUGAAAUGUCCGAGCUUAACUCGGGAACUGCCUCUAAUACUGUUGAUCUAGAGAGUAGAUGCGGUAGGCGGAAUGUAUGGUGUAGCGGUGAAAGGCUUAGAGAUCAUACAGAACACCGAUUGCGAAGGCAGCUUACCAAUCUAUAUCUGACGUUGAGGCACGAAAGCGUGGGGAGCAAACAGGAUUAGAUACCCUAGUAGUC